GGAGGGGUGGGUGAGUGGUUGAAACCGGCGGUCUUGAAAACCGUUGUGCGCAAGUACCGGGGGUUCGAAUCCCUCCCCCUCCGCCA
rnacentral:tRNA from 1 species